ensembl:lncRNA
CCCCAGUGUACCCCUGACCCCAGUGGACCCCUGACCCCAGUGGACCCCUGACCCCAGUGGACCCCUGACCCCAGUGGACCCCAGACCCCAAGUGUACCCCAGACCCCAAGUGGACCCCAGACCCCCCAGACCACGUGGUCCGCCCCGAGAGCCAGCGGCCCCAGCAGCAGCGUGGGAGAGCAGCAAGGAGGGAGAGGAGGUACAGGGGGAGGAUCCAGAGGAUAAAAUGGCCGCCGCCGAGCAGCAUCAGGCAGUAGGGGGCGUGGGGACCCCCCAGGCAGGCAUGCAGGAAGUGCCUGAGACUCUGAAGGAGGCGCAGUCGCCCAGCCCCCCAACAGGGGAAAGCCUGCCCCCGCCCUCCUGGGAGGACCAUCCUCUGAGCCCACUCCUGGACCUCACCCCCCAGGGGAAGGUUGCCGACCAGGGGGGGCAGGGGGCGGGGCCAGCAGCCCUCCCCAACGGGCUCAGGGCGGAGUUCGCCCUGCUGGAGGCUGAGGGCCCCAAGGCAGCCGGCUCUCUGCUGGAGGCUGAGGGCCCCAAGGCAACCGGCUCUCUGCUGGAGGCUGAGGGCCCCAAGGCAACCGGCUCUCUGCUGGAGGCUGAGGGCCCCAAGGCAACCGGCUCUCUGCUGGAGGCUGAGGGCCCCAAGGCAGAAACCUGUCUGCUGGAAGCUGAGGGCCCCAAGGCAGAGACCUGUCUGCUGGAGGCUGAGGGCCCCAAGGCAGCCGGCUCUCUGCGGGAGGCUGAGGGCCCCAAGGCAACCGGCUCUCUGCUGGAGGCUGAGGGCCCCAAGGCAGAGACCUGUCUGCUGGAGGCUGAGGGCCCCAAGGCAACCGGCUCUCUGCUGGAGGCUGAGGGCCCCAAGGCAACCGGCUCUCUGCUGGAGGCUGAGGGCCCCAAGGCAGAGACCUGUCUGCUGGAGGCUGAGGGCCCCAAGGCAGCCGGCAGUCUGCUGGAACACGGUGAGGCCCAAGGUUCACGUUCUGAUGGAGCUCCUCCACCACUACACACGGCUUUAGGUCAAACGUUCUCUAAGACUAUUGAACAAAAGGGACCAGAGACACAAGUCUGAACCGGCGUUAGUCUGAACCGGCGUUAGUCUGAACCGGCGUUAGUCUGAACCGGCGUUAGUCUGAACCGGCGUUAGUCUGAACCGGCGUUAGUCUGAACCGACGUUAGUCUCAACCGAUGUUUGUUUGUUCAAUCUUAGUCGACACCAGGUGACUUAGAUGCUACACAAUUAAGUACUAUGAAUAAAUAUCGCAUAGGUCUAGGUGAACUCUGAACAGGUGAGUUUUGAGUCUUUUGCGGAAGCUGGUGAGCGACUCUGCGGUCCUGACAUCGGCAGGGAUCUCGUUCCACCACAGCGGUGCCAAAACAGAGAAGAGUUGGGACUUUGAUGAUCGACCUUUGCUUGCUGUUAGCAAUGGCGGUAGCCGACUGAGGUAGCUUGAGUGGAGCGCCCGAGCUGCGAUGUGGUUUGACCAACGCUUGGAGGUAGGCAGGGCCAGUUCCAUUGACCACCUUGUAUGCCAGUACCAUCAUCUUGAAUCUGCGAGUUACUACAGGAAGCCAGUGAAGUUCCUGGAAGAGGGGGGGGUCAAAUGGGAGGACUUGGGUAGGUUGAACACGAGGCGCGCUGCAGCGUUCUGGAUACGCUGCAAAGGUUUAAUCUUGGAGGCAGGGUGUUCAGCCAGGAGCGAGUUGCAGUAGUCGCGGCAGGAGAUGAUGAGCGCUUCGACCAGGAGCUGAGCUGCUUUCCUCGUGAGGAAGGGCCGGAUCCUGCGGAUGUUGUAAAGGGCAAAUCUGCAGGAUCGGGCCACUGCGGUGAUGUUUGCGGUGCAGCAUAACUGAAUGUCCAGUACCACACCGAGGUUUCUGGCAGUUAGAGAAGGAGAUGCAGUAAUGUUCUCGACAGUGACAGUAAGUCCAUGUGUGGGCAAUCUUUCCCUGGCAUUAGGAGUAGCUCAGACUUGUUGAGGUUAAGCCUCAGGUGAUUGACAGUCAUCCAAGUGCUGAUGUCUGCCAGACAUUCCGCUUUCCAUGUUGCAAUCAGGGUCAGAGUAAGGGAAAUAGGAAUAGCUGAGUGUCGUCAGCGUAGCAGUGAUAGGAAAAACUGUGAUGUGAUGGUAUAGAGGGAGAACAGAGGGGGUCCCAGUACAGAGCCUUGAGGGACACCAGUGUCAAGAGUGCAGGGUUAUGACAAGGAGCCAUUCCAUGUUACCUGAUGCGAUUCUUCAGGUAGGAUGUGAACCAGGAUAGGGCAGAUUCAGCAAUGCCAAGUACGGCGAGAAUGGCAGGAGGAUCUGGUGGUUCACGAUGGCAAAUGCCGCUGACAGGUUGAGGAGAAUGAGGACAGAUGAGAGGGACGAGGCUCUGGCUUUGGCAUAUACCCUCCUCCCUCUGGAGGAGGGAAGAGAACAUGGAAAAUGUUCAAGGAUUGCGCAGGUCUGGAGUGGAAGGACAGAGAGGGAGUCCAAGGAGGAGGAGACAGGAGAGGGAGGAUAGAAUAGUGUUGGAGAUUUUCUCGUGGAGACCUGAGAGAAUCGUUCGACAGAAGGUAGUGAAGACAGGAGAGUUGGGGCAAACGUAGAGGGAGGGAUUUCAGGUUACGGCGGUGGUGACAAUGUGAGGAAUACAGAGCUUGGAGGGGAAGGACUUCAAGGGGAGAGAAAAAGCAACAAAGUGAUGGUCAGACACAGGGAGCGGGGUGACAGAGAGAGUGAGGUACCGCAGGACCUUGUGAAUAUCAGGUCAAGUUGGUUCACGGCCCUGUGUGUGGGAGGAGAAGGGGAGAGUGUUAUGUCAAAGGUGGCGAAAAAGGUUGUUUAUUGAAGUGCAACUUCUCAGGCAAAAUGUUGAAGUCGCCAAGGAGAACGAGCAUCCAUCUCAUCGUAUAAGUCGUGGAAGGGACCUGGAGGAUGGUAGAUCACCACAAUGUAGAGCUUUAUGGGAAGGGUGACAAUAACAGAAUGGAGGUCAAAUGCAGAUCUGGUCAAGUGUUCCAGUGGAAGGACCACUUAGGACCACUCACGAAAUAAUAAUAAUAAUGGAUUGAAUUUAUAUAGCGCUUUUCUAGACACUCAAAGAUGCUUCACAGUGAAGGGGGGAACCUCACUGACCACCACCAGUGUGCAGCACCCACUGGGGUGAUGCACGGCAGCCAAUCAGCGCCAGAACGCUCAAGCUUGAGGUGGAGAGUGAGGGAACUAAUGAGUCGGCCAAUUUUACAGGAGGAUGAUUAGGGGUCCAGAUUGAAUGAGCCUGAUUGAGCCAGGACACCGGGGAAACCCCUUCUCUUUGCGAUAAGUGCCCUGCAAUCUUUUAUGACCUCAGUGAGUCAGGACCUUGGUUUUAUGUCUUCUCCGAAGGACGGAAAGUGAGAGAUGAGGAGUCCAGUCCCCCCUCCUCGCCCCGAUGGUCUUAGGAGGUGUGAGAACGAGCAGGCGGUGGAGAGGGCAGCAAGAGUGGCAGAGUUCUCUGGAGUGAUCCAAGUCUAAGUCCAAAUCUGUAUGGCCUAGGAAGUGGAGUCAUGAGGGAGGCCAUAGGCCGAGAUGGAGUCUGCCUUUUGACUGCUGAUUGGCAGUUCCAGAGUCGUCCCAUCACUUUGAGGUCAGUGUAGGUCGAGGGCGGUGGGUGCCACAGAUGGGUUGCGCCGAGAUGGGGAUCUCGGGUGGCGUGUACUCCGGAUGGGUAUCCUGACGAUGAUUGAAAUACGACAAACAGCUACAAUAGGGGUGGCUUCCUUGGUCUUCCUCGAGGGACUCCCGCAGAGAGACUCCCUUAUUCUUUGUUUCCCAGGUCUUCGUUUUGAGGGUCCUGACGCUGCCUAUUUAGCAAUAUAAAUGUGGCAUUAGUGGUGCUUUAAGGCCUUGGGCCCUAUUUUAACAUUCUGAAACGCAAGUUAGAAGCACCAAGCGCAAGUAGCUUUGUGGGCGGAUCUAUGGCGAUGUCGCUAGUUUACCGGCGCGAAUAAUGACUUGCGCCCGGCGCAUAUCUAAUAAGAGUUGGUCUGAAGUAGCCUCAUUACCCGUAGGUGUGGUUUGGGCGUAACGUGCAAUAAUCCAAUGAGAGUGCCAGCUCCCAUCCCCUUUAAGAGCCAUGAGCGCAUUUGAAUCUGACGAGUUGAAAUUUUGCAGUGCGUCUGCAGUCUCCGAUGAGACAGAUGCACAUGAAUUACAAAAUUCAAAUGGCUCAGUUUUAGGCCAAAUAAUAUGGCCUAAUUCACACAGGGAAUAAGGUUUUCUUCCACAACUUCAGAAAUACUGAGUCCUUAAAUAAAUUUCGGCAUAUGAUGUAUGUUCGUAUAUGAUCUAACAUAUGAUAUGCGGUAACUGUAGUUCUAUUUAAUGAUAUACACAAUACAUUAUAAACAUCGUUUAUCAGUAUUGUAUGCAUUAUCGUUAUCGACUUGUGUUCCUAAUAUGCAUGUGUCCCCCCGUUAAUAUACAUUGCCAUGGACUAUUAUGCGUUACGUGUUUAGUUUGCAUGUGUUCAAACAGAUGGACGCCCACGCGCACGCCUACUCGCGUGUGUGUGUUACACAUACACACACGCGCUCCAGCAUUCAUUCAUUCUUCUUAACACUCACUCGCGGUAAAACAAUGUUUUCUCACAAUCCAAUACUCAUCAAUCCUAAAAGUUAUGGGCAUGUACACGAUGUCUGUGUCAAGAAAAUAUGUGUUUGUUGUAUGGUGUUUGCAGAUGCAUUGAUUUAAAAGUACAACUUAUUACCGUGGUAUCAGCUGUUCUUUCUCAAAUAAUUUACCAAGAAUGUGUGGCUAGGUAGAUGAGAGAAGCAAAGUGUAUGCGCGAGGUGCACAAGCAAAAAUAUAUGCAUGCGCCCUUAAAAUAGCAUCUGAACAACGCGCCACUGACUUUAAACUAGGUAUUUCCUUGUUUGUGGCGCAGGUGGUUUCUGAAACGGCAAGAUAGCACCAGGGAACGUUUGUGCCAGAACACGCCUCCUCCUUUCGCCGAGCCGCCCCUUGGGGCGCAAGAUCAUUCCCUAAUUUACCGACGUGGUGCAGGAGGGAAAAGAACACUCUGUGCCAGUUGCAAACUAGCAACGACACAUGCGCCAGUGAUUAAGUCAAUUGUGCCAGAUGCAAGAUAGGGGCCCUUGAGUCUGAGGACAGACUCUAAAUGGAUGUUGUGUUGUGUUGUUGUUGUUGGCAGUUAAGGGGUGUUGUGAUGUGUUGUGUUGUUGUGAUGCUGUGUUGUGUUGUUGUGAUGUUGGCAGUGAGGACAGACAGUAAAGGGAUGUUGUGUUGUUGUGAUGUUGACAGUGAGGGUGAGGACAGACAGUGAAGGGUUGUUGUGUUGUGUUGUGAUGUGUUGUGUUGUUGUGAUGCUGUGUUGUGUUGUUCUGAUGUUGGCAGUGAGGACAGACAGUAAAGGGAUGUUGUGUUGUUGUGAUGUUGACAGUGAGGGUGAGGACAGACAGUGAAGGGUUGUUGUGUUGUGUUGUGAUGUGUUGUGUUGUUGUGAUGCUGUGUUGUGAUGUUGGCAGUGAGGACAGACAGUAAAGGGAUGUUGUGUUGUUGUGAUGUUGACAGUGUGGGUGAGGACAGUGAACUGAUGUUGUGUUGUGUUGUUGUGAUGCUGUGUUGUGAUGUUGGCGGUGAGGACAGACUGUAAAGGGGUGUUGUGUUGUGUUGUGUUGUGUUGUGAUGCUGUGUUGUGAUGUUGUGUUGUGUUGUUGACAGCAGAGCUGAGCUGCGGGCCGGACGUGGAGACGCUGCUGCUGGACGCCAGCCUGGAGACGGAGCGGAGAGACGCGCCCUGAAGACCCCAGGCUGCGUCGUGGGAACCCCGGUCUGCCUCCUCAGAUGGUCGCCUCUCUCCGCCAGACCCUCUGCCGGCUGGAACACCGUACAUAAAGAUAUACCAACAUGUUAAAUAGACCAAAAAGAUAGAGCAUCUCAGACAGAAAGACUUUUGAAAACAACUCCACCAUCACCACGCUUUGGCACCAGGCAUCAGAGCUCCACCUGCCCCACACUACACCCCCCACUGAGCCCCAGGAGGAGGUGCUACCGUCGGGCGCUCUGCUCCAUCGACGCCCCAGACCCCCACACCACAAGAGGGGGCUGAUGACACUAACCAAAGACUACAGAAUACAGCCCCCCCCCCAGGCAACAGGUGUGGUAUGGUGUGUACCCCACCCUGUCAGGCGCUCCCAGGAGCCAGGCGUCUUCCUCGCUGGGUUCCUCAGCCUGGGGGUCUCCAAGCUCACAGAUCUGUUUGGUCCCCGAGGGAAAAUGAGUUGAGAAAGUUGUUGAAAGUGUCCCUCUUGUGUUGCUGUGUCCCUGCCCCGGCCCCCCCUACACUACUGUCCUCAUUCUGAUGAGUCGUGCUGUUAAUGGAAGUCAAACUGUACGGCCUUCAAAUCUGCCGACCAAAUCCAAUCGCAGACACCUUAACGUGGUCUCGCCCCCCACCGGCUCACAGCUGCGGGGGACACAUAAAGCGUCUUGAUACGAGUAGAUGGUCCCCUGUUCCUUCCUUCCUGGUCUUCUUUAUUCCGUCUUCCACUAGUACCGCCCCCCCCCCGUGAUUCAUGUUGCCUUCACUUCAUUCUUAGUUUGAAUUUUAUCCUGGCUUUUGUUUUGCUGCUUUGAGAAAUCGAUUGUUUUUGUAUUUAUUUUAUAGAUCUAUGAGCGUCUCUGUGUGGAUUAUUCCCCUCCCUUCCCUUUUGUGUUUAAUGUUAUUUCUUUAUUAAGGGUUUUUGCUUUAAGCGACUUGCCCCGUUGGUGUAAAUGUCCUGUUGGAUUAGGUGGUUGUUUCUCUUGAUUGGGGAAAGGGUCUUGGUAAUAAAGAUAUCUUCGGGUGAAGGGUUUACGUCAAUGUUGGAAUGAUUGAACUGUUAAGACAACAAGCACGAAGAGCGUUGUUUUCAGGAGGGGCAGCACUUGCAGGCUCACACCCGAACAAUGCUCACACCGACCACCGCUCACAUCCCGCUCACAUCCCGCUCACAACCCGCUCACACCCGACCAAUGCUCACAUCCCGCUCACACCCAACCACUGCUCACACCCCGCUCACACCAGACCAAUGCUCACACCCCGCUCACACCCGACGAAUGCUCACACCCCGCUCACAUCCCGCUCACACCCAACCACUGCUCACACCCGCUCACACCAGACCAAUGCUCACAUCCCGCUCACACCGCUCACACCCGCUCAC